rnacentral:lncRNA from 1 species
GACACUAGGUGUAGCGUGGGCUUGAGAAGCAGAACGGCUCAGAGUGACUUCGUGUCAUGCCUCCAGAUUUCAUCCUGGACCACAUGCAUCAGUCUAGCCUUUCCCAUACUUGUCUGUAUAAUGAAGCUUGAAGGGGAAGUUUGUCAAUCAUUUACUGCCAGUUAGCACGUUAUUGAAAGACUGCAGGUUAGAUUUAUUUUCUUUCUGUUAAAACGACUGGCUCAGAGCAUGGAGUAUGAUUUUAACCUAAUGACAUAGAAGUUUUUUUACUUCCUAAAAGUCUUCCCAGAUGUGAAGGCUCCUCAGGUGCACCAGGUCCACAUCUGUGCUUUGAGCGACCAUGGAUGUUCUUCACUGCAAACAGGACCAUGGAAAGGAUCCAUCACUCCUGAGAUCUAC